rnacentral:rRNA from 1 species
GAGUUUGAUCUUGGCUCAGGAUGAACGCUGGCGGCGUGCCUAAUACAUGCAAGUCGAGCGAACGGACGAGAAGCUUGCUUCUCUGAUGUUAGCGGCGGACGGGUGAGUAACACGUGGAUAACCUACCUAUAAGACUGGGAUAACUUCGGGAAACCGGAGCUAAUACCGGAUAAUAUUUUGAACCGCAUGGUUCAAAAGUAAAAGACGGUCUUGCUGUCACUUAUAGAUGGAUCCGCGCUGCAUUAGCUAGUUGGUAAGGUAACGGCUUACCAAGGCAACGAUGCAUAGCCGACCUGAGAGGGUGAUCGGCCACACUGGAACUGAGACACGGUCCAGACUCCUACGGGAGGCAGGCAGUAGGGAAUCUUCCGCAAUGGGCGAAAGCCUGACGGAGCAACGCCGCGUGAGUGAUGAAGGUCUUCGGAUCGUAAAACUCUGUUAUUAGGGAAGAACAUAUGUGUAAGUAACUGUGCACAUCUUGACGGUACCUAAUCAGAAAGCCACGGCUAACUACGUG